rnacentral:tRNA from 1 species
GGGGGUGUAGCUCAGAUGGUAGAGCGCUCGCUUAGUAUGUGAGAGGUACGGGGAUUGAUACCUUGCAUCUCCA